rnacentral:rRNA from 1 species
GCUCAGGACGAACGCUGGCGGCAUGCCUAACACAUGCAAGUCGAACGAGAAAGUUCCUUCGGGAGCAAUUAAAGUGGCGCACGGGUGAGUAACGCGUAGACAAUCUGCCCUUCAGUCUGGGACAACUUUUCGAAAGGAGAGCUAAUACCGGAUAACAAUGCAUGACACAAGUUGUAUAUUUGAAAGCUUUAUGUGCUGAAGGAGGGGUCUGCGUCCCAUUAGCUAGUUGGUAAGGUAAAGGCUUACCAAGGCAACGAUGGGUAGCGGGUUUGAGAGGACGAUCCGCCACACUGGAACUGAGACACGGUCCAGACUCCUACGGGAGGCAGCAGUGGGGAAUAUUGCACAAUGGAGGAAACUCUGAUGCAGCAAUGUCGCGUGAGUGAAGAAGGCCCUUGGGUCGUAAAGCUCUUUUAUGGGGGAAGAUGAUGACGGUACCCCAAGAAUAAGCACCGGCUAACUAUGUGCCAGCAGCCGCGGUAAUACAUAGGGUGCGAGCGUUGUUCGGAAUUACUGGGCGUAAAGGGCGCGCAGGCGGAAUAGUAAGUCGGAGGUGAAAGCCCGGGGCUCAACCCCGGAGGGUCUUUCGAAACUACUAAUCUAGAGAGGGUCAGGGGCCGGCAGAAUUCCUGGUGUAGAGGUGAAAUUCGUAGAUAUCAGGAGGAAUACCGGUGGCGAAGGCGGCCGGCUGGGGCCACUCUGACGCUGAGGCGCGAAAGCGUGGGGAGCAAACAGGAUUAGAUACCCUGGUAGUCCACGCCGUAAACGAUGAGCACUGGACGUCCGGAGGGUUCGACCCUUCUGGGUGUCUCAGCUAACGCAUUAAGUGCUCCGCCUGGGGAGUACGGUCGCAAGACUAAAACU